GGACGAACGCUGGCGGCGUGCCUAAUACAUGCAAGUCGAGCGGACAGAUGGGAGCUUGCUCCCUGAUGUUAGCGGCGGACGGGUGAGUAACACGUGGGUAACCUGCCUGUAAGACUGGGAUAACUCCGGGAAACCGGGGCUAAUACCGGAUGGUUGUUUGAACCGCAUGGUUCAAACAUAAAAGGUGGCUUCGGCUACCACUUACAGAUGGACCCGCGGCGCAUUAGCUAGUUGGUGAGGUAAYGGCUCACCAAGGCAACGAUGCGUAGCCGACCUGAGAGGGUGAUCGGCCACACUGGGACUGAGACACGGCCCAGACUCCUACGGGAGGCAGCAGUAGGGAAUCUUCCGCAAUGGACGAAAGUCUGACGGAGCAACGCCGCGUGAGUGAUGAAGGUUUUCGGAUCGUAAAGCUCUGUUGUUAGGGAAGAACAAGUACCGUUCGAAUAGGGCGGUACCUUGACGGUACCUAACCAGAAAGCCACGGCUAACUAC
rnacentral:rRNA from 1 species